rnacentral:lncRNA from 1 species
CCAUAUCUUUCGCCAUUUCAUUCGCCUGCAGCCAGAAGAAGCCAGCUCUGAAUGCUUUGGUGACGAUUGCCCUUGAGGAGGCGUGAUGACCGCAGGUUCCCGAGUGAAUUUCCUCCAGGAUUAACUGUCCCUCCUUAGGGGAGAUGCAUCGUUGAAGGACGCCUGAAAUGCUUUCUUUGUACAACUAGCCAUCAAUGACAGUGAACGACUUUGACCUGCGGACGACCUGUCUGGCUUGGACUUCGUCUUUUGGUAAUUCUUGCCUCAGGAUGUAUGCAAUAAACGGCACAGUACAAUCGGGAAUG